rnacentral:rRNA from 1 species
UGGCGGCUUGCUACACAUGCAAGUCGAGCGGUAAGGCCCUUUCGGGGGUACACGAGCGGCGAACGGGUGAGUAACACGUGGGUGACCUGCCCUCCACUCUGGGAUAAGCCCGGGAAACUGGGUCUAAUACCGGAUAGGACCACUGAUCGCAUGGUUGGUGGUGGAAAGUUUUUUCGGUGGGGGAUGGGCCCGCGGCCUAUCAGCUUGUUGGUGGGGUGAUGGCCUACCAAGGCGGUGACGGGUAGCCGGCCUGAGAGGGCGGAACCCGGCCCACCCACCCUGGGACUGAGACCACCGGCCCCAGACCUCCUACGGGAGGCAGCAGUUGGGGAAUAUUGCGCAAUGGGCGGAAGCCCUGACGCAGCGACGCCGCGUGGGGGAUGACGGCCUUCGGGUUGUAAACCUCUUUCGCCAGGGACGAAGAGCAAUUGACGGUACCUGGAGAAGAAGCACCGGCCAACUACGUGCCAGCAGCCGCGGUAACACGUAGGGUGCGAGCGUUGUCCGGAAUUAUUGGGCGUAAAGAGCUCGUAGGCGGUGUGUCGCGUCGGCCGUGAAAACUUGGGGCUUAACUCUGAGCGUGCGGUCGAUACGGGCAUCACUUGAGUUCGGCAGGGGAGACUGGAAUUCCUGGUGUAGCGGUGAAAUGCGCAGAUAUCAGGAGGAACACCGGUGGCGAAGGCGGGUCUCUGGGCCGAUACUGACGCUGAGGAGCGAAAGCGUGGGGAGCGAACAGGAUUAGAUACCCUGGUAGUCCACGCCGUAAACGUUGGGCGCUAGGUGUGGGGACCAUUCCACGGUUUCUGUGCCGCAGCUAACGCAUUAAGCGCCCCGCCUGGGGAGUACGGCCGCAAGGCUAAAACUCAAAGGAAUUGACGGGGGCCCGCACAAGCGGCGGAGCAUGUGGAUUAAUUCGAUGCAACGCGAAGAACCUUACCUGGGUUUGACAUGCACCAGACAUCCCUAGAGAUAGGGCUUCCCUUGUGGUUGGUGUGCAGGUGGUGCAUGGCUGUCGUCAGCUCGUGUCGUGAGAUGUUGGGUUAAGUCCCGCAACGAGCGCAACCCUUGUUCCAUGUUGCCAGCACGUAAUGGUGGGGACUCAUGGGAGACUGCCGGGGUCAACUCGGAGGAAGGUGGGGAUGACGUCAAGUCAUCAUGCCCCUUAUGUCCAGGGCUUCACACAUGCUACAAUGGCUCAUACAGAGGGCUGCGAGACCGUGAGGUGGAGCGAAUCCCUUAAAGUGAGUCUCAGUUCGGAUCGGGGUCUGCAACUCGACCCCGUGAAGUUGGAGUCGCUAGUAAUCGCAGAUCAGCAACGCUGCGGUGAAUACGUUCCCGGGCCUUGUACACACCGCCCGUCACGUCACGAAAGUUGGUAACACCCGAAGCCGGCGGCCCAACCCUUGUGGAGGGAGCUUC